rfam:Facklamia hominis CCTG 36813 genomic scaffold supercont1.1, whole genome shotgun sequence.
CCACAUCUGCAACCGCUCAGCUUGUGUAUUAAGCACAUUGGUCGCGCAAGUUGGCGAGUCUCAAAAUAAAU